CAUCCUACCACGAGUAAUCACUUGAUGAACUUUCUCGCUGUUCCAGGGGGGUUUGGAAGUAGGGAGUGAAUUGCCACAGCACAGGAAAUAUUCCAUAUGAAGCCAUAAUACUAGAUGGAGUCACCCAGAAGGUCCAAUCUAGUACUACACUCUUUGGUCCAUUUCUGCUGGAUCCUUCUGAAGAGAUAUUUGGAGCUUGACAUGUGACUGCCCCUGCAAAGCAAAGCAUCUUCAGAUCCAGGACCUGUUGCCUGGCUCCUCCAUUCAGAAGGAAGACCCUGACUCAUGACUUCUAAUCAGCGGAGGUUCAGAUGAAUUUUCCCUGCAGGCAUAUUACUGCGUGGCUGCCCUCCCUGCAGAGUAUCCUGUAUCUUCUUCUGAAACAUCUGGUACUAGCCACACCUGAAGAUAGGUCUAGACAGACCCCUGGUCUGAUCCAGUCUGGACACUGCCUUGUUCCUAUAAAACCCCUUUGGAAAUAGAGUCAGAAACACAGGCUCUGAAUGGCCCAAAGCACAGCAAGCAGACCCCCACACAACCACCAACUUAGAGUUUGUGCAAAGAAGAAGUGAGACGAGCAAGAGGUCUCAGCCCAGUUUCUGGUUAGAGGUGCUUCCCUCAUAACUCCUCCUUUAUGGAAGGCCUGAUUCCCCCUGUGUACAAAGGACUGAGAAUUUAUUCACAAUGCAGUUGUAUCAGUGUAGUGUGGGGAUUCCCAUGCUACCUUCCAGUGAGCUGGCUCAGCCGGCAUGAACAGUCUAGCCACGGCAGCAUGGAGUUACAAAUGGGCCUUAAUGAAUUCUGCUCUCUACAGGGGAUUAUCCUGUACUGAGCUCCAUGUUCCUAUGGUGGGGCUAUUUCCAUUACCCAAGCCAACUCAUUGAAAACAAACCUUGAGGCUGAGAGGGCACAUGAGGCACCAUUUGUAGCCUAAUAAGAUUGAAGGGAUACCGACAAGCAGAAAAUGUGCCAUGGGCAGCCCACUCCUUUUCAGAGCAUUUUUAAACAGAUGCAUGCUGCUGCUACUAACAAACUGGCAUGUGUACAGCUCACUGAAUGGUGAAAUAAAGUCUUGGUACAGCAUCUCUCAGCAAUACUAGGUGCAUCUACACCUGCGCUUUACUGCACAG